UGGAGUACCAUUUUUUUUUCAAAGACGGCGUCAAAAAUCAAAAAAAUGUAUAUAUAUAUAUAUAAGGAUCUAACUAAAAUUAAUAAAAAAAAUUUUACCAAACCCUACCCAAUUUAGUGCAUCAUCGUCUUCUACUUCUCCCUUUCUCUGUGUUUUUGUAUCUUCAUAGAAUCGGGUGGGGGAAAUGCAGGAGAGGUCGAAAGUUCAGGGAGAACGGGGAAUCCUUUUGGGUGUGGGCUUUUGUUGCUGUGGUUGUUGGUGCUGGUUUCUAGGGAAUUAGGGAAAGGAGAGGAACUCAUACGAGAUAAGAGUGGUGAGGGAGGCCGCGAAUCGCUUCCACGGGCGAGCAUUUCAGGUCUCCGGCGAUCAAUUGAGGCCUUCCUGCGACCCCGGUCCGGCCACACUCCGCGCCACGAACCACGCGAUGCCUUUCGUUCUUGAUUUUGGAAAUGCAGGAAUCUAGUUGGUGUCGAGCAAGCCGACAACUUGUUCUCAAUCCAAUGGCUGAGAAGGAAAUGGGGUCUUUGGCUGAAGGCAUCCAGACAAUACAAGGAAAGAGGCGAGUGGACACAUCGCUAAGUCCACUGUCGAAAGCACUGUAGGUCAAGUAGUCACCUACAUCGAUUCAUUGAAUCAGUCCAUGAGCAAAGAUGCUGGAGGUUUUGGAGACUACAAUACAGGAACUUAUCCACCGUUGGACCAGUUGCAGGCUCAGUUGGAAAACUUGGCAGCUCGGCUGAGUAUUGUGGAGGAUGAGGUGCACGUCCUCAAGAUCCAAAACCAGUCUUUAGAAAAUCAACUUGCUUUGCUGGUAGAAGCCAGAGGCAUGGGUGGGCCUCGAGCAAAAGUUCCUGAACCAAAGAGCUACAAUGGCGCUCGUGAUGUGAAUGAGUUGGAAAACUUCCUGUGGCACAUGGAGCUGUAUCUUAAGGUAAACCAAGUUCAAGGCGAUGACCUGAAGAUAACUAUAGCCUCAAUGUUUUUGGUGGAGGAUGCCAUGCUGGUGCCGUCGGCGACAUAAUGAUGCUGGAAAGGGUCUCUGCUCUAUGGAGACUUGGGAUGAGUUCAAGAAGGAAAUGCGUCAAUAUUUUCUACCAAAGGAUGUAGAGCGUAUGGCUAGACGACAGCUUAAGCAAACAGGCUCCAUACAUGAGUACGUGAAACGGUGAAAGCAUUUAGAAGCAAAAUGCUAGAUAUUUCAAAUAUGUCUGAUGCAGAUCGGCUGUUCUACUUCAUGGUUGGACUGCAACCAUGGGUGGAACAGGAAAUCAUGUGACAAGACCCUAAGGAUCUGAAUACUGCACUUGUGUCUGCAGAGCGCUCCCAAGUUCGAGUAUAAACCCUGCAACUUAAGGAAGAAUGAGGGCAGUAAUGACAAUGCUAAGAUGAAUGAGCAACAACAUAAUAGAAAUGACAAUGCACCUGCUCAAGAGAGUAAGUGCAGAGGUGGACAAGAUAAUAUGAAUCUCAAGCCGAAUCAGUCUCUGACUAGUUUAAAGUGCUGGCAUUGUAGUGGAAAGCACUAUGCAUCAAAAUGUCCGAAUAUUGGGAGCAACCAAACUCGGCCGUCCAGCCUAGACUAUGCAAGACAAUGAAGAAACCGAAGGUUUGAAGAUGAAAGAACUCUGUGUUCAAUAUUUUGAAGGGUGUGGCAAACGCCGGUGUUGCACCUCUGAAAUAACUCUAUGCUCUUAUGAAUGGCAAGUCCACAAUGACAAUGGUGGAUACUAGUGAUCCACACAACUUUGUCUCAUAAGAAGAGAAAGGAGAACACACACCUCAUCCUGGAGAAGGGGAGUCAUAUGUGAAGCCGGUAAAUUUGGAGAAUGCAAGGCUCAUCCAUAAAGUGGCUUGGGAUGUGGUUGUACCAAUAGAGGGUUACAAAGGGAAUACCACUAAUUGAGGGUGAGCUCACCAAUUUGUUGUACCUUUCUACCCUUAGAGGGUUGCCUCAAGGGGCAUAACUCAACCGGGCAACAUGAUGACUAGUGUAUUAGGGGUUUGAUGUUUGAAUCUUGUUGUGGUUGUUGUUAAGCUCUUGUAUGUUAUUCUUUUGGGUUGCAAAUGGUGGCAAAUGCGACACCUGAGUUGAAAUGUGUAUUGUCGUUCCAUCCAAGAAAACCUUAAAUGCAUAAGGGUAGGGCUUUAGAAGUUUUAAAGUUUUA